rnacentral:rRNA from 1 species
CAGCCGCCGCGGUAAUACGAAGGGGGCUAGCGUUGUUCGGAAUCACUGGGCGUAAAGGGUGCGUAGGCGGGCAUUUAAGUCAGGGGUGAAAUCCCGAGGCUCAACCUCGGAACUGCCCUUGAUACUGGGUGUCUUGAGUCCGGAAGAGGUGAGUGGAACUGCGAGUGUAGAGGUGAAAUUCGUAGAUAUUCGCAAGAACACCGGUGGCGAAGGCGGCUCACUGGUCCGGAACUGACGCUGAGGCACGACAGCGUGGGGAGCAAACAGGAUUAGAUACCCGCGUAGUCCCUGUCUCUUAUAC